rnacentral:rRNA from 1 species
AACAAGGUUUCCGUAGGUGAACCUGCGGAAGGAUCAUUGUCGCCUGUCCGGAAAAAACACGACCGUUGCGCACGUAACCUAACCUACUGCCGCCGGGGAGGCGUCGUCGCCCCGGCCCACCGGCCACGGCCCUCCCUCGGGCGGGCCGUGCGUCGGAAAUACGGCGCGGGUUUGCGCCAAGGAACACGAGAUGCUAAGGCGGCCGGCCCGCCGCUCCGGUGCGUUGCCUGCCGUCGAUGCAAAGGAACACAUGAUGACUCUCGGCAACGGAUAUCUAGGCUCUCGCAUCGAUGAAGAACGUAGCGAAAUGCGAUACGUGGUGUGAAUUGCAGAAUCCCGCGAACCAUCGAGUCUUUGAACGCAAGUUGCGCCCGAGGGAUCUGCCCUAGGGCACGCCUGCCUCAUGGGCGUUAGAUGCCCAUCCACGCUCGUGAGCCAUACUCGGCCGCGAUGCGGAUCAUGGCCCUCCGAGCCCGAGGGCGCGGUGGGCCCAAGUGUUCGGCCGUCGGGGGAGCUGGGAGCGGCGAGUGGUGGAACGCUGCGUGCGUCGCCCUGCGCCCCUUGCCGGCACAUGGCUUUGACCGACCCUCGAACGAGGAGCCGCGCCGAUUACUGUGGCGCGGCACUUUCGGAUCGAUACCCCAGGUCAGGCGGGGCUACCCGCCGAACACACAAACCCAC